CACACACACACACACACACACACACACACACACACACACACACACACACACGCACAUGCCCUCCCCCCAAUGAAAAACAUACAAAUGGCUGAGAUCAUAUGAGCCAAACCAGCAAAGAUAAGAAUAAGGAAACGCCAUCAGGGGAGCCAUCCGCCCCGACAGCAGCAGAUCCACAGCAGCAGCCAAGGCACCGACACAGGGCGCCCAGGGCAGGGAGGGUGGAGACCCCCACCUCCACCUGGCGCUCACCCUUUAGCCGUUCGGUUCAUGAAAGAGUUUCGCAGACUAAGGCCCAUUAUUAGAUCUUCUGUCCCUUCUUGUGACCUCACUUUGCCACUGGAGGCCCUGUGUGGUCCCCCAUUUGAGCCAAUUGAAUCGAUCAGCAUGAAGCUUCUGUCUUAUAAGACAGCUCUGCUCUUAGCCCUAGCAUUGGUGAAGAGGGUGGGAGAUCUUCAUGCUCUUUCAGUCCAACCUUCCUGUCUGAAAAUAUCAUCAGACGAAUCUAGUGUCACCCUGCAUCUGAAUGCUGCAUAUUUGCUCAAGGUCAUCCUGCUGAACUAUUCUGUAUUCUGUUCCCUGACAGUGCUUUCGGGCUUCAGUUGUCCUCCUUUUGCCUCUGAGGAGGAGAGGAGGCUGCAUUGUCUGUGCCCGGUUUGUGCUCUGGCUUAUAUAGAUUGAACUUGGAGUAUCGGAAGAACAGACCAAAUGUUUGUGUGUUUCGCCAAACCCUCCAUGGGUAAAGCUUUGUCAAAGCAAAGACUUUCUCAUUGGAUUGUGGAGAGAAUUUCCCCAUGUAACAGUGUCACUGGCUCCCAGCUUCCCCUAAGGGUAAGGGCACACUCUACUAGAGGUGUGGCUGCUUCUUGGGCACUGUUUAAAAGGUGUUUCAGUUUGUCAUUUGCUCAGCUGCAAGCAACACACCACACUUUUGUGAAGUUUGACCAUUUGGAUGUUUCGGCCCCUUCAGUAGCGCAUGCAGUUCUUUCUGCUGGGUCUGACUUGCCAUCUUAGAUUGCAAUCUCAACCCAAGUUUAAUAGCUGCUCAUGGGACAUUUCGAUAAGUCCCAUAGUGCCUUCUUGUACCGAGUGAAUCGACUGAAAACACUCACACAUGAGGGAUUUGUGGUCACUGUUUUGAUUGCAGUUUUAGUUAACUCAAAAAAGGUUUACAUGUUCUUGUGGCCAAGGUCCUGACGUUUCUUUAGUGGUACAGCAUGACGAUAUUUAUUGAUAUUUGGAGGCCCUUGGGCCUGAAGAAUUGGGGGCUGGCGGAAAAGUCUGGCAGGCCGGAUUUGGCCCACGGGUCGCUAAUUUCGGACCACUGCCCUAGUGGGAGGGAGUCCCAUAGACUGUACAUACUGGACAAACGGAUUCCAUUGCCUCCAAUAACACGUUUGUUGUCUAUAAUGGGAGGUGGCCACCACCGCAAUUUUGACCGUGUCACAGGUUCCGUCCAGCCCAGACAAUUCCAUAAAAGGGAAGAGAGGAGGUGCUGAGGGUGUGGCUGUAAGGCUGGGCUCGAGUGACGACACCCAGGCGAACUAGCUACGAGCUAACCUGAAGCUAACCCUGGCUAACCCAAAGCUAAAGCGGAGGUGGGAGCCGAGCUAACGGAUGUAGCCACCUAGCUUCAACCCAACCGGAGCUAACUGGAACACCCAUCGACCUGAACCUUACACGGAGUUUAGGUGGAGGUUUUCUGCGCCUGUUCGUGAGAAGUACCUGUAUUAAAAAAGUUUUAAAUCGGUAAGUUUAUAAUUUAUUUCCGUAAUGAAAACAUUUUGCUUUGAGCAAGUUUUCAGUACAGUUUUUUUCGGCGCUAUCACUCCUGAGUCGCACCAGCCAUUAAAUGUAUCAUGAAGAAGAGAAAAUAUAUUUAAGUCGUAUUUUGGGGGGACAUUUUAUUAUCUUUCUUACAAAAUCUGAGACCAAGCGUUUCACAUUGCAACACAAGCACCGGUAACCAUAACAGAAUGAACAGCCAGCAGAGGAGAGGAUGGCGGUGUUUCAAACCCUCCCGGCCGGCGAGGAGAGCUCAUUCCUGGGCUGGAGCCGGCCCUCAGCACCCCGCCACAGGCUCUAACAGAUGCUGGCGGUGUUUGAAACCCUCCCAGCGGGACAGGGGAACUCAUUCUUGUGUGGGUCGGAGUCGGCCCGCAGCAGCGCGGUGUAGCCUACAUAUUUUGUUAUAUAAGUCGCUCCGGAGUAUAAGUAGCAGGACCAGCCAGAAUAUGUAAAAAAGUGCGAGUUAUAGUCCGGAAAAUAUGGCAGUUAUUAGUAUUUGAGCUAAAUUAGCAGCGUAAUUACAUUUCAUAUAUUUCCAAAAUGUAAUACAUGUUUGUAUCUUGUACAGCCAACUAGUCUUUAUUCUGGACUCAGUACAAUUUACCAAAAGUAAAGAGACAUUCUACAGAUAAAGUAAGCACAAGAUAACUUACUGGAAGACACGGGAUUAUCAUGAGAACCAGAACAAGAGAGCCUGAUAACAGUCAUGUGAAAAUAACAGUUAAAAAGUAUGUAUGUAUAAUAGAAAUAAAAAUAUAUUAGAAUUAGUGUAACUCACUGUGAUCCAAACAAUAAAUCAGCCAUAGCUGAUUAGUAAAUAUGACAUGAGGUCUUGGAGUUUUUAAUUUUCAUUUUUUUCUUAGAUCUGUUUAAAUGUCACCAUGGCAGCCUGUGUCUCUCCAACAUCAGCUACACAAAGCAGCAAGUCCAUUUGGAUCAUUGGAGACAGCUAUGUGAGGCGUGGUGCCCAGAGAGCUGCAGAGACAACCUUGGCCUCCCUGACGUGUCUCCUGGUUCGGUUGGGGCGGACCAUCGACAUACAUACAUGUGCCGACACUUUGCGCCCUGUUUUAUAAAAUGUAGUGUUAAAAAUAAAUGUUUUUGCUCAA